UACGUAGGUGGCAAGCGUUGUCCGGAAUUAUUGGGCGUAAAGAGCUCGUAGGCGGUCUGUCGCGUCUGCUGUGAAAUCCCGGGGCUUAACUCCGGGCGGGCAGUGGAUACGGGUAGACUAGAGGCCGGUAGGGGAAAGCGGAAUUCCCGGUGUAGCGGUGAAAUGCGCAGAUAUCGGGAGGAACACCGGUGGCGAAGGCGGCUUUCUGGGCCGGACCUGACGCUGAGGAGCGAAAGCGUGGGGAGCGAACAGG
rnacentral:misc_RNA from 1 species